GAUGAACGCUAGCUACAGGCUUAACACAUGCAAGUCGAGGGGAAACGACAUUGGAAGCUUGCUUCCUUUGGGCGUCGACCGGCGCACGGGUGAGUAACGCGUAUCCAACCUUCCCGCAAGUAAGGGAUAACCCGUAGAAAUGCGGCCUAAUACCUUAUGUUUUCCUUAGAGGGCAUCUGAUGAGGAACAAAGAUCCGUCGCUUGCGGAUGGGGAUGCGUCUGAUUAGUUAGUCGGCGGGGUAACGGCCCACCGAGACGACGAUCAGUAGGGGUUCUGAGAGGAAGGUCCCCCACAUUGGAACUGAGACACGGUCCAAACUCCUACGGGAGGCAGCAGUGAGGAAUAUUGGUCAAUGGGCGCAAGCCUGAACCAGCCAAGUAGCGUGAGGGAAGACUGCCCUACGGGUUGUAAACCUCUUUUGUUUGGGAAUAAAGUGCGGGACGCGUCCCGCAUUGCAUGUACCAUUUGAAUAAGGACCGGCUAAUUCCGUG
rnacentral:rRNA from 1 species